rnacentral:rRNA from 1 species
CUACGGGGCGCAGCAGGCGCGAAAACUUCGCAAUGCGCGAAAGCGCGACGAGGGGAUUCCAAGUGCAUGCACUUAGUGCAUGCUGUUUGCUAGUCCAAAUAGCUAGUAGAGUAAGGGCUGGGUAAGACUGGUGCCAGCCGCCGCGGUAAUACCAGCGGCCCGAGUGGUGAUCGUUAUUAUUGGGUCUAAAGCGUCCGUAGCCGGCCCGGUAAAUCUCUGGGUAAAUCGUUGGGCUCAACCCAGCGAAUUCUAGGGAGACUGCCGGGCUUGGGACCGGGAGAGGUCGGAGGUACUCCGAGGGUAGGGGUGAAAUCCUGUAAUCCUUGGGGACCACCGGUGGCGAAGGCGUCCGACCAGAACGGGUCCGACGGUAAGGGACGAAGCCCUGGGGCGCGAACCGGAUUAGAUACCCGGGUAGUCCAGGGUGUAAACGCUGUGCGCUUGGUGUUGGGGGUCCUUUGAGGGCAUCCAGUGCCGGAGAGAAGUUGUUAAGCGCACCACCUGGGGAGUACGGUCGCAAGACUGAAACU